AUUGAACGCUGGCGGCGUGCUUAACACAUGCAAGUCGAUCGGUAACGCGGGGGCAACCCUGGCGACGAGAGGCGGACGGGUGAGGAACGCUUGGGAAUCUGCCUAUCAGCGGGGGACAACACGGGGAAACUCGUGCUAAUACCGCAUACGCUCUACGGAGGAAAGCCGGGGACCGCAAGGCCUGGCACUGAUAGAUGAGCCCAAGCCGGAUUAGCUAGUUGGCGGGGUAACGGCCCACCAAGGCGACGAUCCGUAGCUGGUCUGAGAGGACGAUCAGCCACACUGGGACUGAGAAACGGCCCAGACUCCUACGGGAGGCAGCAGUGGGGAAUAUUGGACAAUGGGAGAAACCCUGAUCCAGCGACGCCGCGUGGGUGAAGAAGGCCUGCGGGUUGUAAAGCCCUUUCGGUAGGGACGAAAGCUCUCGACCUAACACGUCGGGAGGUUGACUUAACCUACAAAAGAAGCACCGGCUAACUCUGUGCCAGCCGCCGCCGUAAUAC
rnacentral:rRNA from 1 species